UCUAAGUUUGAUGGCGACCGGCGCACGGGUGAGUAACACGUAUCCAACCUGCCGAUGACUCGGGGAUAGCCUUUCGAAAGAAAGAUUAAUACCCGAUGGCAUAGUUUUUCCGCAUGGUGGAACUAUUAAAGAAUUUCGGUCAUCGAUGGGGAUGCGUUCCAUUAGGUUGUUGGCGGGGUAACGGCCCACCAAGCCUUCGAUGGAUAGGGGUUCUGAGAGGAAGGUCCCCCACAUUGGAACUGAGACACGGUCCAAACUCCUACGGGAGGCAGCAUG
rnacentral:rRNA from 1 species